UACGUAGGGUGCGAGCGUUAAUCGGAAUUACUGGGCGUAAAGCGUGCGCAGGCGGUUUUGUAAGCCAGAUGUGAAAUCCCCGGGCUUAACCUGGGAAUGGCAUUUGGGACUGCAAGGCCUGAGUGCGGCAGAGGAGACUGGAAUUCCUGGUGUAGCAGUGAAAUGCGUAGAUAUCAGGAGGAAUACCGAUGGCGAAGGCAGGUCUCUGGGCUGACACUGACGCUCAUGCACGAAAGCGUGGGGAGCAAACAGG
rnacentral:rRNA from 1 species